UUAAAUCUAAUUCCAUGCUCAAUGGGAACAAUAAUAUACAAAUCAACAACAGCAUUCGAAUGAUUUAGAAGUAAACAUCAAAAAAGAAACAAAAUGUGUAAAUAUGAACUCCAAAACUCCAUGGCAGCAAGACACUCUUCAAAACAAGCUUUCAUUCAUGAUUCAAGGCUCAAGAUAUACCUGGUUACAAAGGAUAAGAACAAGGUUGUGAAUCUUCAAAGAAAAAACAGCAAGAACAAAGCAGGAAAACAAUGAAACUAGCAGCAAAAACCCAGCAGUAUCAUAGCAUUCAACCUCAAGCCAUCUUGCAACUCAAGAACCUAGAAAUUUCAAAGGAAAAAAUUUGUUCUAACUUAGGUCGAAUCAGCAAGGAAAUUGAUCAGCUAUCAAAUGGAACAAUAGCUGAACUUUUUAGUGCAUUUUAGGUUUCUGAAAAUCUGAUCUCCAUGUGUAUGAGUGAGUGCUUUUAUUUUUAUAGAGUGCGCAAAAAGGCAUCAAAAAUGGAAUAUUCUAAUCUAAAUUCUGAAUUUUCAGGAUAGUACAACAUCUUUAACAGCUGUAUGUCCUUUUUCCCACCCAAAUUUCAGCAUCUUUUUCUAAAAAUUGGGCAGCUAUCCAAAGACCUAGAACCUUCUGAUAUUUAACUUAUGUAAAAACCCUAUUUUACCAUCCCAUUUACUGAUUAUUGCAAUUUUUAAUAAUUUUGACCUAAACCAAAGUAAAACAAUUGCUACCAAUUACCCCAACUCAUUUGACCAUUCUGAAAUUAAUUAACAAACUAAUCAACUAACAACUAAAUUCAAACAACCUAAAAGAUAUUCAAAUAAGUCGUCAAUUAGUUGAUUCAGCUCGACUAAUCCUGAAACCUACACGAUUGACUAAACACUGAUUUUAAAAAAAUCUAAAAACUAAUUCGAACAAGUGAAUAAUAAGAAAAAAACAAUGAAACUAAUUUACUCAACUAAAUAAUGCGGACUAAUUCCAAACAAGUAAAACGCCCAAAUUAAUUUAAACAAGUAGCCAAUAAAACUAUUUUGAACAAUUAAAUACUCAAAGCACAUUCAAACAAGUAAAUAAUCAGAAAUUAAUUCAAACAAAUAAAAGGAAAAAUCAGAGGCAUAAACAAAAACAAAAACAAAAACAAAAAGAAAAGAAAGAGGAAGGGUGUUGUUUCUUUCAAGCGGAAUGAAUUGUCGACUGAAGCGACCCAACAAACAAGGAAGGCUACGAUCUGGCCAUGCAUCAGUGGUGAAUUGGUCAAACCAAUGACUUCGAAAAAGGUCGAAACUAAUGCAAAAUGAUUACUCUUAUCAAGAACAAUCGAUUCAAAUUAGUCUCGACCCAAAACAAACAAAAUACCCCAACAAAUUGCACAAGGUUGAACUAGGGUUUCUUCUGGACUCUUAGAUCUAAAAUUCACCAAUUUUGGUGGAGUUUCUAAGGUAACUAACAGGAAAUAUGAGAUGAGGGGUGUGUGGUGGUUGUCUUGUUAGAAGUUGGACGAGUUUGGACGGGUUUGGGUGAACUAGGGUUUGGUCUCAGAUCUGAAAUUGGAGAGAUUUGAGAAAGAUUCGAAGGAAUUGGUUUGGGGAUUUGGAAACGGGAGAGGACGAGAAUAGACUAGUGAAAAUUUGGGGAGGUUUGUAAUAGCGCCGCCGCCGUAGAGCGAUUUUCGGCGAUGGCGAUGGGCGAAGGUUCAGAGAGGUAAGGGGGUGAGAGAGACGAAGUGAUGAAAGGUAUUUAGGGGGUGGCCUCGUUUAGGACAAUUAUAUAUUAAACGAGCACCUAAUUCCGAGCCGUUGGAUCAAAAGAAUCCAACGACUCUGAUUGAAAAACCAAGAAACAACGUCAUUUUGGGUUAGUGGGGGCUGGACCUGGUAGGCUUUUGGGUCUGGGUUUGGGUUAGUUUUAAGGAAAAUAUUUGGGUCGGUUUGAUGUAAAAUGAACCCAAAUUCAGAUUUAAAAAACCCCUUUCUUCAAUUCCUCUUUUAUUUCCUUUUUCUUUUUCUUUUUCUUUAAUUAAAAUCCUAAAUUAAAUUUUAAAAUUAAUCUAAAUUGUGAAACUAACUAAUUAUUUAAUCAUAAUAAUUAUAAAGAUUACUUGAUCCUAAAUUAAAGAUAAAAAUNNNNNNNNNNNNNNNNNNNNNNNNNNNNNNNNNNNNNNNNNNNNNNNNNNNNNNNNNNNNNNNNNNNNNNNNNNNNNNNNNNNNNNNNNNNNNNNNNNNNNNNNNNNNNNNNNNNNNNNNNNNNNNNNNNNNNNNNNNNNNNNNNNNNNNNNNNNNNNNNNNNNNNNNNNNNNNNNNNNNNNNNNNNNNNNNNNNNNNNNNNNNNNNNNNNNNNNNNNNNNNNNNNNGACAUUUUUCAUGAUUUUAAUAAAAAUUAAACGUGCACAAAAAUGCAAGCAAUUAAUAAAAAUCCUAUAAAAUGGCAAAUAAUUGGAAAAAUCUAUUUUCUUGGAUUUUAUAGGAGUAUUUCAUAUAGAGCAAAAAUCACAUGCUCAUAGAAGUUAUCACCAUGAGUGUUUGAGUUAUGUGGUAUAUUAUGUGAUUACAUCUUGGGUUAUAGAUAUGGUUUGAUACAGCUUGUUCGGACUUAUAUAGUGUGUAUAGGCGAGGUUUUGAUCUUAUAGAAAAUUCUGAAUGUUGGAAAUUGGGACCUAAGACUUAUGGACUAGGUUAGAUUAAGAAAGUACAGUCAUGUUACGUUAUCGGACCUAUAUGGGAUAGGGUAACGUGGGAUCACCCUCGGGUAUGUGCAUAGUGAGGUUAUACAGCGAGUUGAUGGCUUUUGGAAUAACUCUGGGCACGUUCGAGGAUGAACGUAUAUUUUAGUGGGGGAGGAUGUAAUGACCCGACCGGUCAUUUUGAGCAAUUGUACUUCGCUCGGUUGUUUGAGGGCAUGAGUAGCUCUGUAUAAAGUAUUAUGACUUAUGUGAAUCGUCGGUUUUGAUUUUCAGGUUAUUUGGAAUUGAUUUGGAAGAAUGAUUCUCAGCUAGAAGCUUUAAAUUUGAAAGGAUUGGCCAAAUUUUGACUUUUUAAAAUUUGACAUCAGAUCGGAUUUUUUAUGGUUCUGUUAGCUUCGAUGGAUGAUUUUGGACUUAGGAAUGCGUCCGGAUUGUGAUUUGGAGGUAUGUAGUAGGAUUUGGCUUGAAAUAGCGAAAGUUGGGGAUUUUGGAAAGUUUGACCGGGAGGGGAGUUUUUGAUAUCGGAGUCGGAUUCUGAUUCUGGAAGUUGGAGCAUAUCCAUAAUGUCGCAUGUGACUUGAGCACAAAAUUUAAGGUCAAUCAGAUAUGAUUUGAUAGGUUUCGGUAUCGGUUGUAGAAGUUUCAAGUUUCAAGUUCUUUGAUUUUGAAUUGAGGUGUGAUUCGUCGUUUCGAUGUUGUUAUGUGUGUUUUGAGGCCUCAAGUAGGUCCAUGUUAUGAUAUGAGACUUAGUUGUAUGUUCGAACAGGGUCUCGAGGGGCUCGGGUGAGUUUCAGAUAGGUUUGGGUAGUGUUGUGCUCGUUUUUUAUGUUUCGACGUCGUUUUUCAAGCAUAAAUGGUACUAUAUUAAGCAAAUGAGCUAUGAUUUCUAUUUUUAUUGAAGCGUUAGGUCCGUAUCGUAAUUAUGGAGCCAUAGCAAAAAGAAUCAUCAAUUUUGGACAUCGUAUGCGGAUUUUAUGGUCAUUUUACUAAGAAUUGGGUUGUGAGAUUUUUCAGAUUAAUUACGAAAUUGCUACUGAAUUCGUAUUUAAAAAUAUGCACUAUUUUCAAAUUUUGAAACCAACAUAUCUCUUACAAUAUAAGGUCAAAUUGAGUGAUUCAAGAGCCUAACUUGACUAAAAUUUUACAAAGAAUCCAUUGGAGGCAUCAACAGUGAGUUUCAGAAUUGUUUGGCACAAGAAUCAAGGUAGAAUAACUGGCAGAAAAAUAUAUAAAAUAAGAGUUUGUUCAUUUGGUCAUAUUAUGAGUUGGGGAGCUCGAAUUUGGGCGAUUUUGGAGGCGAUUUUCACCGUAUGUAUUGUGGUAAUUAUUCUCUACUCGGUUUUGGUUAUAUUUCAUGAAUCCAUCUUUACUUUUGGCAUUUGAUUGAUGAUUUCAAAGUGAAAUUUGGGGGGUUUUGCCUAAAGUUUCAUAAAGUAAAUUUUUAAGUGUAACAACCCGACAAAGUCAUUUUGAGCUCUAGCGUGCUGUUCAACAGUUUGAGGCUAUGAGCAGCUUUAUUUCAGGUAUUAUGACUUGUACGCGUGGUCGGAAUUGAAUUUCGGGUUUUCGAUGACCCCGGAGCGUUUUGGCGCCUAUUGUUGAAGUUAGCAUUUUGGAAGAAAUUUUUUAUGUUUGGAUUGAAGUGCAUUUCAGUAUUAUUGAUGUCUGUUGGGGUUCCGAGUCUGGGAGUAGCUCUAUAUGGUGAUUCGGAUGUUGGGAGCGCGAUCGAAAAUGAAUUCGGAGGUCAGUGGCCCAUUUUGGAGUCAUUUGGGAUAAAAAAUUGAAGGUUUUUGAGAAGUUUGACCGGAAGUGGACCUUUUAAUAUCGGGGUCGGAAUCCUAUUCUGAAUAUUGGAAUAGGUUCGUAAUGUCGAAUAUGGCUGGUAUGUAAAAUUUGAAGUCAAUUGGACUUGAUUUCAUAGGUUUAAACAUCGAAAGUAGAAGUUUGAAAUUCUAAAGUUCAUAAAGCUUGGAUUGGAGGUCAAUUCAUGGUUUUAGCGUUGUUUGAUAUGAUUUGAGGCAUCGAGCAAGUUCAUAAUGUGUUUUGGGACUAGUUGGUAUGAUUGGUUGGGGUCCAGGGGGCCUCGGCUGGAUUCCGGGUGGUUAACGGAUCGAAAAUAGAAUUUUGGAAAAGGCUGAAGUUGUUGGUUACUGGUGUAACACAACUGCGAAACUAGGGUCGAAGGUGUGGAGCCGCAGAAGCGGCCUUCGUGCCGCAGAAGCGGAAAUGGACGGCUAGGCUGGGACCGCAGAUGCGGUCAUUUUGGCCACAGAUCCGGGAUCGCACCUACGGAAGGAGAAGUGCAGAUGCGGAAGUUGAAGGCUUAGGGGAAGACCGCAGGUGCGAAAGGACUGGAGGCAGUGAGGAAAAUCGGGAUUUGGCCAUUUUCUCUAAUUUUUCUCUUGGCUUGGGCGAUUCUUGGAGGGUUUCAGAAGGGGGUUUUCAUCAUCAACGAUAAGGUAAGCUAUCCCCACCUAUCUUGAGUUAAAUACAUUGAUUAUGUACGAAUUUGAGCAUGAAAUUUGUAGAAACUUGGGGUUUGAGGGAAAACCUAGAAAAUUGAUAUUCUUGGGAUUUGAUCACGAUUUUGAGUAUGAAAUUGAGAGUAAAUUAUAUAUUUGAGUUCGUGAGGUUAUGGGUAAAGUUUAUCUUCGAAAAAUUUUGGAAUCUGGGCACGUGGGCCCGAGGGCAUAUUUGUCAACUUUUCGAUUGGGAUUAGGGAUUGUUAUAAAUUGGAUCAUUAGGGGUAAUUGAGUAUAUAUUAAUGGAUUGGUAUUAUUAUUGGCUAGCUUUGGAGCUUUGUUCAUCGAUUCGAGUCUUCGGAAGAACGUGGAAUGCCGAUUAUGGAUCUUCAGAGUGAGGUAAGUCUUCUUUCUAACCUCGUAAGAGGAAAUUGUCCUCAUAGGUGAAAUAAUUGGUUAUGUGCUCCUAUUUAUGGGGGCUACGUACGUAAGAGGUGACGAGAAUCCGUGCGUAGCUACUAUUAUGUAUAAGUCCGGGUAGUCUAGGACCCAAAAGCAUGUUAUACUUGGAAUAUCUGUAAUCUUAUUGCCAGUUGAAUUGCUUAAAUCCUAUCGAAUUGGUAAAUGAAUUUCUAAAAGAGAUUAAACUUCAUUUUCUUAAAUCGCCAAAAGAGAAUUGGCUUAUUUGGAUAAACGUUCCCCGAUAAAUUCUUAAUUUGUUGUUUGAGCAUGUAUUUCUAUGUAUACUUGCAUCGCAUGUAUGAUUCGCGAGCAGGGUGUUGGUUUAUUUAUGUUGACCGCGUCGCAUGUAUGAUUCGCGAGCGGGGUAAUAGAUGCAUCUACUAUUCGCGCCAUUCAACCCUCUGGCAGUGCACAUUUAAAAUAUUGUUGGAUCGGGCCAUACGACCUCGGCAUGAUUUGUGCAUGCUUGUAUUGCUUGCCUUCAAACUUAUUGAAGUUGUUAUUGCCUCUUCCCGGUUUGAGAAUAUUUGUCUAAACGAUGAAAAGGAAUAUGGAAAUUUUAUAUAAAAGAAAGAAUUUCUUACUUGCUUCAUUCCGUUGAAUUACAAUCAUGUUUAUAAAAAUCAGCGAUUUACUAUAUUAUUGAGAUAACAUUAUUGGACCACUAGUAAGUGUCAAAGUCCACCUCUCGUCUCUACUUCUUCGAUAUUAGACGGGAUACUCAUUGGGUACACGUUGUUUUUGUACUCUUACUACACUUGUUGUGCAUAUUUGUUGCACACAUUUAUGAGUGGCAUAGCGGCAUGGUUGAUACGGAGACUUGGGUGAGUUGCAUUUAUCGAGCCGUCUGUAGCCAGCAGAGUCUCCUUUAGAGUAUUGUACUGUAUUUUCAUUUCUAUCCACUUGUAUUCCGGACAUUUACUAUAUUUUAUUUCAUUCCCUAGUAAAUGCUCAUGCACUUGUGACAUCAGGUUCUGGGAGGAUCACGGAAUUAUUUUUCAGUAGUUAAAUUUUGUAAAUACAUCCUCAUUUAUCCAACGGAGUUUAUUAUUUACUAUUUAUUUGUUAAAGGAAAUGAUUUCAAAAUAAUUAAAAUGAGAAAUUGCUAGUAAAUUGUGGUUGGCUUUCCUGACAGUGGUGUCCGGUGCCAUCAUAACCCUUAGUGGAUUUUGGGUCGUGACAACAUGGUAUCAGAGCACUAGGUUUCCUUAGGUCUCACGAGUCAUGAGCAAGUCUAGUAGAGUCUCGUAGAUUGGUACGGAGACGUCUGUACUUAUCUUCGGGAGGCUAUAGGGCUGUUAAAAGUACUUCUCUUCAUGAUUCCUCAUCGUGCGAUUUGAUUCCUUGAGGCUUAUGCCCUUGUUUCCUUCCUACUCAAUCUUACGCGACACGAACCGUUGGUUAUAAGUCGAGAAUUGAAGGAUUGUAAUGGCACUACGAAUGUGGUGCGGGGUGUUUCUCCCUGCGGGGUUAUUUGAGAUUUUAUCAUCGCCUUGUGGAAGGAUAUUCUGUCAUUUCAGCUUAGUAGCGGUACUUCUGAGAGCUUUAAGGCUAGGCACAAGUUGCCAUGAUGCUAUGAAUGAUUGUUCCACGGUAUUGAUAUGAUGGUAGGAUGUUUGCUUACGUUUCGGGGCAGUGAAUGACUUGAAGGGAGGUUUACUAAGUACAUGAUCUAGAGAUUCGGUAUUUUAUUCUCGGUAGGGGAAAGACAAUCGGACUAAGAAUGUUCCGAUUUGGGUUGAUGGAGUAAUGAGACUUGGUAUUUGUGAGCGUGGUGGAGUUUUCUUCUAUGAUGAGGUGUCGUUGUCCUUAUUGAAUGUACUAAGUUUGUCGGUGCUAUGAUCUUCUACAAUCCACCUUUGGAGCAGGAUAUUGCGAGACAGUAUUAAAGAAGCAACGGUUAGAGAUCGUAGAGUGCGGUGGUUCGGGAAUGAGUCGGUGUGUCUAAUGUUGACGGUUCGUGAAAAUUGAUCCCCGGAAAGGUUUAAAGUUAGUAGCGAUUUGGGGUUCAAGUGCUACGAAGAUAGAUUUUAUUAAGGCAACAACCGAGCAACAAAGGAUGAGUAAGGACAUGUGGGAAGUGUCAAGCGGUGGUUAAAAUUUCUAGAAGGCCAGGUAUAAAAAGCAAAGGUCGAGUAGUCGACUAAAAGGGUUAGUUUCGCCAAAAUUGGAGAGUAGCGGAGUUGCAUAUGGGCUUGUGGUAGGAUGACCACGCACCUUAAGGAGAGUUGGAGUGAUUUGGGAAUUUUGGUGAUUGGUGAUUUGGGCCUACGGAUUGAUUUGAAGUAUGGACUAUUAUGCGGCAGGAGAUUUGAAAUAACGGAAAGGAGAUGCUUGAAAUGAAGAACGAUACAACAUAACUUUGAAUUGGAAGGAUAUUGUCACACAUCUAUUUGAUAUCCACGAGGGGUGAAUGGACUUGUGCAACUACAGAGUGAGCUCAGACUCAGGAUGGGUUAUUGAUGUCGUAGUGAUUGUACCCCAUGCAACAGCGUUGGAAGAUGUCAGAAAGUGAUUUCUACAGGUGAGUUAUUCCCUUUGAGCAGGUUAGCGGUCCCGUGGUUGGCGAAGCUUCUGCGGAGGAUUUUACUGGCCAUUCCAGUAAGAGGUCGAAUAUGUGAAUAUUGAUGGAAAUUCAGGGUGUUCAUGAAAUGCUAACGGAAGGAUUUCAAGGAAUUUGGCGGUGGAUUUCGUGAGGCUAUAAAAAGUAAAGAAUCUCGCUGGGUUCCAGAGUUGUGUAGUAGUAGCUCCAAACUAAGUGGGAGGGUCCCACCGCUUAGGAUUGGGUUGCAUAAUUAUCGUCUUGUGAGGUUUCGGGUUAUCGGUGUAUUGGUAAGUUAUUUCAGCUACGGGAAAAGGGUAUAAGUGUUAAUUUGAGAAAAGGAAUUGUUAAAGGGGUGCUAUGGUUGGCCCUAUUGGCUCAUGCUCAGACUUGGGGAAGGAUUCAGAAGUUAUGCCUUGUGUAAGUGCGGAUUUCAGGGGAAGUGAUUCUACCGGGUGCUUCGUCGAGGGGGUAUGCAUAUGCUAGAAGAAUCAUAGAGUUGAUUAUAUUUGGGGCCAAGUCAGAGCGAGUGGCUCUCAACAACGGUCCUGGUGAAUUCAAAGGGGUAAGGUAUGGUGCCUAAUAAUUUCGAGCCUAUAGUUACAGUUAAGAAUCAAGCUUUAUAGCAGCUUAUGAGAGGUGCCCAAAAAGUUCUAUGAUGAUUUGACCUACAGUGUAGCAAUUAGGAAGUAUGAAAUGGUUCGUGGGAUUUAAGACGGCAUGGUCUCGUGAUUCACGGUCACUUGGGAUGAGUGCAGAUGGAGUGUGUUAUGUGUUGAAUGGAGCUAUUAUUUUUAAGGCAACCAAGGAUAAAUUGGAAGAAGAUAGACUGGUUAGCCAUAGUUGAAUUGACAUAUGGGUAGUAGUAAUCAGUUCUUUCAGCAAAUUAUGCAAGUGAUUUGUGCCAGUGUGUGCGAGGCCUGUCGGCCGCCAUAAUUGAUGUUAUUCAGAAGUAUUCUACUAUUGUGGCAUGCUACGUGUGGGCGGAUCAUGGAAGGGUUAUAGUGGUUUAGACUAUUACUUAGAGAUUUGCAUAUUUUAUGGUUAAGAGGAUUCACUUGUGUGUUGCUAUGGUUCUCCUGAAAUGAGUUAAAUGAAAAGAUUUUAUAUGAUGAAAUAUCAAUCUAUUAGUGGUUCCAGAGUUAUGACGAAAAUUGUGUUCUAUCAAAUAUUGGCAUGAUGGGUGCAGUGAGUGGUAUGGAAUUUGAAGUGAAGAUCAAGGUUGCAGUUCAGUGUUGACAAGGAUAUCACGAGCUCGGAUGAGCAGGAAAGGAAUUUUGAUGAUUAAAGUAAGAGGGUAUUGCCUUCAGCGUCACCGGAGACCGGUGUUUAGUGAAAAAGGGCUUUGCAUUCUGGUUAAGGAUUCUUGAUUGCUUUUUAGCAUUAGUGCGGCUAGUGGUUUAGAUGAUUAGACCUGUAAUCCGUCAUAGAAGGCUGUGGGGGCGUGCCCUACGGGAAGGUCGUAUAAGUGUGGCAUGUAAUCACUUGAUGUGUUGAAAAGUAAACCAAGUAUGAAGAUUGUGGUGAUGCCGUUGAUUUGGGAAUUGAGCUUGGAGGUCACUUAAUCUAUUGAGUUAUGGACUGUAAUGAUUACUUCAGUUAUGAUGGUUGUUCUUAUGUGUUAUGGGAAAAGGGGGAGUUAUUAUAGACCUCUUAAAGGUUAUUAGCCUAGUUCUGUGCGAUCAGAAUCAGCUUGAAGUGUGUGGAUGGAUUCAAAUGUGAAUAUGGGCUCUAUAUCAGGCCAGAUGUGUUCAUUUCAGUAAUACGCUCCUUAUGGAGAGUAUUCAGGGUGUUGUUUCGUCACCAGUUGUUUCAUGCAAUGAUAUAAUGCGCCGUGAAAGUUGUGAGACGGCUUGGGAAAUUGCUUAUGUGUUGAGGUUCCACGUAGAGACGAGGUUAUAUGAGCAAAAUGGCUCUUGAGAUUCAGAUCGUAGAUCGCACCUCAUUUGUGCUUGAGUUUUGUAGCUUAUAGCGCUAUAUGUCCCCUCAGGGAUGGUAUUGUGCACUUAGCGUGCUUGUGACCGAUAUUCAGUGUUUUGUUGUAAUGAGCAAUUUAGCUCGGUGUGCACCUCCUUAAGUGAGUGUUAUGUGUGGAUCCGGUGGCAUGCCACCAUGGGUAUAUUAUUUGGUCGGGUUGCACGCCGCAAUAGUGUGAUGUUUAAUACAGUUUCAUACUCCAUCUUAUGUAUGUUUGUUUCCCAGUUUUUUAGGAAAGUUCAUAUUAGUUGUGCAAGUCGAGUAGUUCCUUCUAGAGAUCGUUUCCCUUUGUAUAUCAUUCAAAUGGGUGGCAUAUUGGCACGUUGUGGCAUCAUAUGAGACUUUGAUAAUUACCGGGGUGGCUUAUUGCAUGAGCAGAUCGUACUGGGUAAGACAAGAUCAUUGAAUUUAGGAUCAGCGCAAUCUGAUUAUAUGAAGUAUAUCAAGGAGCUAAGAUCAUUAUUUGGUUCAGGAUGAGGUGAUGGUUCUUUUAAGGAGUAUAGACCCAAUGAUUUGUUGAAUUCGGCAGUCGGUUAUGAAUUUCUACACAUCUCUUCCUUCGCGGCGGUAUUGUAAGAGUUAGAGCAAGACCUAUGUAGGUCAUGAGGUGCAAUGGGAGCAUCAGAUUCGUGGAAUUUUGAAUUAUUUGAUCGGAGAAUGUUAUUGUGGUCCUAUGAGUAAAGUGGUGCACGUUGUGAAUUCAGCUAAGGUACGCGGUCAUGUUUUGGUGCUGUGUGUAGAUAUUGAUACGGUGAGUGUAUGUUGGAAUAGGCCUGGCAGAGAAUUUCGGAUGUUGGGAUUGGGCUCCAAGGCUGACUUGCUUAAGUGGAAAAGGAUAUCUUCAGAUUGAUCGAUCUAGGGUGCCCAGCUUAGUUGUGGUAGCACAGGUAGGUGCUCAAGGUGUAAAACAGUGAUUUCGGACAACUCCAGCACAGUUCUAGUGCAUUCGAGGACGAACGUAUGCUUAAGUGGGAGAGAAUGUAACGACUCGACCGGUCAUUUUGAGCUCUAGGGCACCAUUCAGCAAUUUGAGGCCAUGAGCAGCUUCAUUUCAGGUACUACGACUUGUACGCGUGGUCAGAAUUGAAUUUCGGGAAAUUCGGAGUUGAUUUGGAAAGAGAAUUCUCAUUUCGGAAGCUUUAAGUUGAAAGGAUUAACCAGGAUUGGAUUUUUGAGUAAACGAGAUUGGAAUCGGGAUUCAAAGGUUCCAGUAGGUUCGUAUGAUGAUUUUGGACUUGAGCGUAUGCCCGAAUCAGGUUUUGGAUGACCCAGAGCGUUUUGGAGCCUAUUGUGGAAGUUAGCAUUUUGGAAAAAAAUUUAUAAGUUUGGGUUGAAAUGUAUUUCAGUAUUAUCGAUGUCUGUUUGGGGUUCCGAGUCUGGGAGUAGCUCCGUAUGGUGAUUCUGAUGUUGGGAGCGCGAUCGGAAGUGAAUUCGGUGGUCAGUGGGCCAUUUUGGAGUCAUUUGGCUAAAGAUAAAAAAUUGAAGGUUUUUGAGAAGUUUGACCGGAAGUGGACUUUUUGAUAGUGGGGUCGGAAUCCGAUUCUGAAUAUCAGAGUAGGUCCAUAAUGUUGAAUAUGCCUGGUGUAUAAAAUUUGAAGUCAAUCGGACUUGAUUUGAUAGGUUUAAACAUCGAAAGUAGAAGUUUGAAAUUCUAAAGUUCAUAAAGCUUGGAUUGGAGGUCGAUUCGUGGUUUUAACAUUGUUUGAUAUGAUUUGAGGCCUCGAGAAAGCCCGUAAUGUGUUUUGGGACUAGUUGGAAUGAUUGGCUGGGGUCCUAGGGGCCUCGGGUGGAUUCCAGGUGGUUUACGAAUCAAAAAUGGAAUUUUAGAGAAGGCUGAAGUUGUUGGUUGCUAGUAUAACCGCACCUGCGAAACUAGGUCCGCAGGUGCGGAGCCGCAAAAGCGGCCUUUGUGCCGCAGAAGCACAAAUGGACGGCUAGGCUGUGACCGCAGAUGCGGGAUCGCACCUGCAGAAGGAGAAGCGCAGAUGCGGAAGUUGAAGGCUUGGGGGAAGACCGCAUAAGCGGUCAAUAGACCGCAGGUGCGAAAGGACUGGAGGCAGUGAGUGUUUUAAAAAUCGGGAUUUGGCCAUUUUCUCUCAUUUUCUCUUGGCUUGGGCGAUUCUUGGAGGGUUUAAAGAGGGGGUUUUCAUCAUCAACGAUAAGGUAAGCCAUCCCUACCUAUCUUGAGUUAAAUACAUUGAUUAUGUACGGAUUUGAGCAUGAAAUUUGUAGAAACUUGGGGUUUGAGGGAAAACCUAGAAAUUUGAUAUUCUUGGAAUUUGAUCACGAUUUUGAGUAUGAAAUUGAGAGUAAAUUAUAUAUUUGAGUUCGUGAGGUUAUGGGUAAAGUUUAUUUUCGAAAAAUUUUGGAAUCCGGGCACGUGGGCCCGAGGGCAUAUUUGUCAACUUUUCGAUGGUGGUUAGGGAUUGUUAUAAAUUGGAUCAUUAGGGGUAAUUGAGUAUAUAUUAAUGUAUUAGUAUUAUUAUUGGCUAGCUUUGGAGCUUUGUUCAUCGAUUCGAGUCUUCGGAAGAACGUGGAAUGCCGAUUAUGAAUCUUCAAAGCGAGAUGAGUCUCCUUUCUAACCUUGUAAAAGGAAAUUUUCCCAUAGGUGAAAUAAUGGGUUAUGUGCUCUACAUAUGCAAGAGGUGACGAGAGUCCGUGCGUAGCUACUAUUAUGUAUAAGUCUGGGUAGUCUAGGACCCAAAAACAUGUUAUACUUGGAAUAUCUGUAAUCUUAUUGACGGUUGAAUUGCUUAAAUCCUAUCGAAUUGGUAAAUGAAUUUCUAAAAGGGAUUAAACUUCAUUUUCUUAAAUCGCUAAAAGAGAAUUGGCUUAUUUGGAUAAACGUUCCUCGAUAAAUUCUUAAUUUGUUGUUUGAGCAUGUAUUUCUAUGUGUACCUGUGUCGCAUGUAUGAUUCGCGAGCAGGGUGUUGGUUUAAUUAUGUUGACCGCGUCGCAUGUAUGAUUCGCGAGCGGGGUAAUAGAUGCAUCUAUGGUUCGCGUCAUUCAACCCUCUGGCAGUGCACAUUUAAAAUAUUGUUGGAUCGGUUGCGCAUGCUUGUAUUGCUUGCCUUGAAACUUAUUGAAGUUGUUAUUGCCUCUUCCCGAUUUCAGAAAUUUGUCUAAACGAUGAAAAGGAAUAUGGAAAUUUUCUAUAAAAGAAAGAAUUUCUUACUUGCUUCAUUCCGUUGAAUUACAAUCAUAUUUAUAAAAAUCACUGAUUUACUAUAUUAUUGAGAUAACAUUAUUGGACCACUAGUAAGUGUCGAAGUCGACCUCUCGUCUCUACUUCUUCGAGAUUAGACGAGAUACUCAUUGGGUACACGUUAUUUCGUACUCAUACUACACUUGUUGUGCAUUUUUGUUGCAUAGGUUUAUGAGUGGCAUAGCAGCAUGGUUGAUACGGAGACUUAGGUGAGUUACAUUUAUCGAGCCGUCUGUAUCCAGCAGAGUCUUCUUCAGAGUAUUGUACUGUAUUUUUAUUUUUGUCCACUUGUAUUUCAGACAGUUGUCGACGUCCCCUUUUUCCCUCCUAAAAGAAGGCAAAAUCGGGUUUACGACAUUAUGGGCAAAAUAACUCUUAUUCCCCUUUCGAGGAAUCGGGAUAUGGAAUUUGAAGAGUCGUCACCUAAUGAUUAUAGUGCAUUAGGACACUUAAAAAAGGAUUUUUGAAAGAUAAACCAGAGUUCGGGUAAGGGCUUGAGAUUAUCUCGAGGGGAAGGUGUUAGGCACCCCUGAAGAUCCACUAGUGUGGUUCCCAGCCUUGCUUAGUUAUGACUUUAAGAAUAUGAAUAAACAAGCAAAAUUUGCACAUAGGAAGUGUAAACAAGUUGAAAAAAUUUUGAAAGAAGAAAGACACAAGUGAUUUUGAAAAGAGAAAAGCUUAGUUGAAGAAAACACUAAUUUAAGAAAACAUUGAUAACUAAAGAAGGAGAAAAGGGGUCCUAGGUUUAAAUAUAAUAUGAAUCAGUUUGGUGCAAUACCCAGCAAUCAUUCUCGCACGAGAUAUUAAUGCACCGUCAUCAUCUGCAUAUUCUACCCUUCCCACCCCGUUAAGGUAUUUAAACGCGAUUAGUCUCGUUUUACUUAUUACAUGCUAGUACCCGUCCCAACCUAUCAGUCCCGGGGUAUUAGGACUUUUAAUCCUAAAGGGAAAGAAAGGGGGUAGAGGCAUAUAUGGGGUUUAAAAGGAUAAAAUACUAGUUUCGACAACCAAAACAAAUAACAAGUAAGGGGAUUGACAAACAAACAUGCAAGGCUCACAUAAAACCCCGUUAAUCAGAUAGCACUUAGUUUAGCAUGCCUUACACAUACUAGUUUGGUCUUAAAAUUAAAACUUAAGCGGCGGACGGAUCAGUUUAACACAUAGAACUAGAUAAAAAGUCUACAUUAGGCAACUUGGAUCCAAUUGUUAGGAUCUGGAGUAUUUUACCAAAUUGUUAAUUAAGGACUAACAUAGACAAGUUUUGAAAGAAGCAGAAGUUGCAGAAGUUCAAAAAGGUUUUGGAAAAUCGCUGAGACUGUUUAAUGAAAUGUGCAGCAGAGUUUCAGAAGUAAAGUGUUCAUAAAAAGGGGCGAGAGUUUGAAAGUUGUUUGAAAGUAUCCUCAUGAAUAAAAGUUUAGACAGAGAGUUGGAAAACAAUUUUAGCGACAGAAAUACAAGUUCUUUGCAGACAGGUUUGGACGAAUUAUGUUGAAAAUAUUGGGAUAAUUGUCAGAUUACUGAUUAUACGACUUAAGCGAGUUCUGAGAUCCUAUGGGUAGGAUAUCUAUUCCAAUUUUUUAUGCUAUUUUAAACGUUUCAGGCAGGCGAUAGCUGUGUUACCCUAUUGUUUGCCUAUUAUUAUUGUGAUUCUAUAGGCAUGACUUCUAUAUAUGCUUGAAUGAAGAAAAAUGCAAGACUAUGGACAUGAUCUCUAGGUGAUUCAAACGUUAAAAGUCUAUAGACAUGAUAUCUAGCGAUUCAAAGUAGUAAAAGUCCUAUAGGCAUGGUAUCUAGGUGAUUCAAAGUAUUAAAUCCUAUAGGCAUAAUUUAAAGUAUUAAAUCCUAUAGGCAUGAUUUCUAGGUGAUUUAAAGUAUUAAAUCCUACAGGCAUGAUUUCUACCCUUUAACAUGCAAACAACUAAAAAACCCCUCCCAUACCCUUUACUACUAUAUUCCCCAAUUUUUAUUACAAAGUUAUUAUUAUAGAGCCAAAAGGUAAAAAUAAAAUACAUCAUAGCCCACAGCUAGAUCCAAACUGCCUACUGCAAUCUUGAUAUCCAAUUCAUGUGUUUUACCAAAUCCGGGUUCCAGAUUCCAAGGCCUUCUCUUAGAGUGUUUCAAAGUUCCAAGGAGAUUCAAGAGCCUAGACAAUGCUUACACCCUAAAGAGUGAAUGUGGUAACAGAGUAGUGCAAUGUGUGGAAUUACCAGCCCUUAGGCAUCCAAGUUCAGAGGAAGCUCUAGGGUCCCUAAGCAUGGCUUACCAUNNNNNGGNNNNNNNNNNNNNNNNNNAAGGGGGUAGAACUUAAGAGCUAGGAGUAAGUGUGAAGUGAGGGAGGAACCUUAGAAGGAGGUGGUCAUACCCAGCCAUGACAUAGACUGGCACACCCCUAACCCCUUGCUUAGAUUCAAACAAAUAAGAGCAGACUCUUAGAGAGUCAAACUUAGGUCUGAAGGGUGAUUAGGACACCACCAGACCCAAAUUAGAGCUCAACACAUUGAGGGGAAAGGGAAUGGGAAAAUAAUCGAGUAAAGACUCAUAAGAGUCUAGUUCUGGAUCACAGACAACAAUUCAUAGUGCUGCUAUGACCCAGGACAAUACUCACAUACAAAGGGAGUAGAGGGAAAGGGAUUAACAUAACAUAAGAGACAUAGCAUGCUUGAAGGUAAUUAAAUAGUGCAGGAAAGCAUAAAUAAACACAUAAAGAAAGGGGUAGAAGUAGAGAAGUUGAACAGGGAUGCUAUUUAAUAUAGAAGAACAUACCAGUUAUAAAUUCUAGAAUAGCAGGAUAGUAACAGCAAACAGACAGCUAGGAGUAAUAGGAACAGACUCAAGAAAACUCCCCAAUUGCUUAGAAGUUCAGACAGCAGGAGGUACAAAUAUAGAAUGCUCAGUAGUAGUGUAGAGAAAUAGAGAGUAGUAAUAGUAGUAGUAAAGAAGACAGAGAGAUGAAUUCUGAUUUUGAUUUUUAGUCAGAAUUCGAUGAUGAAGUGAAAAGAAGAGCAUGUAUUUAUACUUGAAAUCGGUCAUGCAAGCAAGGAAAGAAAAUUAGUCGAGUAUCAAUUAAGAUCAAUCAAUUAACGGAGGUUCCUUUAAUUAAGGAAUCCCAAUUUGAUCAGUAAAGGACGAAAAAUAUUUAAGGAAAGGGGAUCAAAUAAACAACAUGUGCAUAGUAUACAAAUAAGGGUGAAUACAUAAAAGUUAUUUAAGGAAAAGUUUUUUGAAAUACACGGUUUGUGCAAAUAAGGUAAGAAGACCAAUUAACAAACAGUAAAUCAAAGGUCUGAGAUUUUUAUACGAAUGAAUCCAGUCUAAAAAGAGAGAAGGGUUUUACUUAGGUCGAGUCACGGGCAAAAAUGGAAAGAAAUCAAUCAAGCUGUAUUCAGAAGAAAUAUUGGACUAAUUGCAAAUUUGAAAUACCAUUUUAGGGGGAACAUCAUAGUAUAUAAGGAGCAUACGAACACUUCAAACAUGAAAGAAGGAAAAUCUAGCUUUUGGCAAAAAGGUCAGAACCAUAUGAAAACAGAGAUGACUUUCAGAAAUUGAAAUCAAACUAGUUCAGAGGUGAGAACAUGCAAGUCACAUACACGUGGUCUGAAAACCCCCAAAUUCUAGGGUUUUCGUCAUUAGUCUAGUGUAGGGACGAAAACGAUCAGAUCAAGCAAGAGCAAACAUAGAGAACCCAAAGGAACUUAAUUGUUCCGUGAAAACAUGUUGAGGGAAAACACAAUAAAAGAAAAUAGAAGGAAACAUUAGAAGAAAACACAUAGGAGUCAAAGUAGAAACAAACAGGAGUCACAGUAAGACGAAUACAGUAAGAAACCACAUAAAAUCACAGUGGGACGAGUAAAAUCAAAGAAACCCUAAAUCAGAGAAGAUGAAUAGCUUUGAAACCAGACUUUUAAAAGAGAUUUAAGAAAUCAUUUUGAAAACCUUAAAAAAAGCAUGGAUCUAGAGCGGAUCUAGAUAAAUAUAGGAAAACCUCGAAGGGCUAGGGUUUCAGAAGAACCCUAGAAGUGAGAAAGGCCUGGAAAAGGGUCUGCUCUGAGCCAGGUGAGCCAGAGAUAGGCUCAUAGGACCAGGACAUGCCGGAGAUAGCCGUGAAACUUGAAUCGGCGACGAUCUGAGCGAAAAUCUUCAAGAUCAGCCCUUGAAUCUUCCAGUAGCAGGUGUACAAGAGCACAUGGAGGUGAGUACAGGCCACCCAAGGCUUGAGGAUGCCAUGGGUUCCGGUGAAACAUGGUGGAAGCCGGUGGGAAAGGGCUAGGGUUUCGGAGGGGCUAGAGAGGAUUUAGGAGACGAAUGGAUUUUAGGGCGGCUGUUUGUGAAAAAUGAAUUAGGGUUAGGGGUAGUUGGGAAAUUAAAAAGGAAUGGGGAAAUCGUGGCCGUUGAUCAAAAUGAUCAACGGCCU
rnacentral:lncRNA from 1 species